rnacentral:rRNA from 1 species
GACGAACGCUGGCGGCGUGCUUAACACAUGCAAGUCGAACGGAAAGGCCCUGCUUUUGUGGGGUGCUCGAGUGGCGAACGGGUGAGUAACACGUGAGUAACCUGCCCUUGACUUUGGGAUAACUUCAGGAAACUGGGGCUAAUACCGGAUAGGAGCUCCUGCUGCAUGGUGGGGGUUGGAAAGUUUCGGCGGUUGGGGAUGGACUCGCGGCUUAUCAGCUUGUUGGUGGGGUAGUGGCUUACCAAGGCCUUGACGGGUAGCCGGCCUGAGAGGGUGACCGGCCACAUUGGGACUGGGAUAAGGCCCAGACUACUACGGGAGGCAGCAGUGGGGAAUAUUGCACAAUGGGCGGAAGCCUAAUGCAGCAACGCCGCGUGCGGGAUGACGGCCUUCGGGUUGUAAACCGCUUUCGCCUGUGACGAAGCGUGAGUGACGGUAAUGGGUAAAGAAGCACCGGCUAACUACGUG